UCUACGGGAGGCAGCAGUGGGGAAUAUUGGACAAUGGGGGGAACCCUGAUCCAGCCAUGCCGCGUGUGUGAAGAAGGCCUUAUGGUUGUAAAGCACUUUAAGCGAGGAGGAGGCUCUCUUGGUUAAUACCCAAGAAGAGUGGACGUUACUCGCAGAAUAAGCACCAGCUAACUCUGUGCCAGCAGCCGCGGUAAUACAGAGGGUGCGAGCGUUAAUCGGAUUUACUGGGCGUAAAGCGUGCGUAGGCGGCUUUUUAAGUCGGAUGUGAAAUCCCCGAGCUUAACUUGGGAAUUGCAUUCGAUACUGGGAAGCUAGAGUAUGGGAGAGGAUGGUAGAAUUCCAGGUGUAGCGGUGAAAUGCGUAGAGAUCUGGAGGAAUACCGAUGGCGAAGGCAGCCAUCUGGCCUAAUACUGACGCUGAGGUACGAAAGCAUGGGGAGCAAACAGGAUUAGAUACCCUGGUAGUCCAUGCCGUAAACGAUGUCUACUAGCCGUUGGGGCCUUUGAGGCUUUAGUGGCGCAGCUAACGCGAUAAGUAGACCGCCUGGGGAGUACGGUCGCAAGAC
rnacentral:rRNA from 1 species